UUUAUCCGAUUCGUCGGAACAGAGUGACAGGUGCUGCAUGGCUGUCGUCAGCUCGUGUCGUGAGAUGUUGGGUUAAGUCCCGCAACGAGCGCAACCCUUGUCUCUAGUUGCCAGUAUUAAGUUAGGGACUCUAGAGAGACUGCCUCGGUUAACGGGGAGGAAGUGGGAUGACGUCAAGUCCUCAUGGCCUUUAUACCCAGGGCUACACACGUGCUACAAUGGGCUGCACAAAGGGUCGCUAGCUCGCGAGAGUGCGCUAAUCCCAAAAGCAGUUCUCAGUUCGGAUUGGAGUCUGCAACUCGACUCCAUGAAGUUGGAAUCGCUAGUAAUCGUGGAUCAGCACGCCACGGUGAAUACGUUCCCGGGCCUU
rnacentral:rRNA from 1 species